ACUAUGCUGGUUGUACAUUACAGAUGUGGCUACGUCGUCACAUGAGUGUCAGCAGGUGGCAGAGGAGAGGCUGUGCUGCUGCUCGGUGUCCCUGACCUAGGAACAUCUGAAUAAUUAGGAGCCUAACAUC